rnacentral:rRNA from 1 species
CAGUCGAGCGAGAAAGGGAUUCUUCGGAAGCCCGAGUAAAGCGGCGAAAGGGUGAGUAAUACAUGGAUAACCUACCCCUGAGAGGGGGACAACAUCCGGAAACGGGUGCUAAUACCCCAUGAGACCACGGGUUCACGGACCUGCGGACAAAGAUGGCCUCUGAUGUAAGCUUUCGCUCAGGGAGGGGUUCAUGGCCUAUUAGCUUGUUGGUGGGGUAACGGCCUACCAAGGCUAUGAUGGGUAGCCGGGCUGAGAGGUUGUUCGGCCACACUGGGACUGAGACACUGCCCAGACUCCUUCGGGAGGCUGCAGUCGAGAAUCUUUCGCAAUGCGCGCAAGCGUGACGGAGUGACGCCGCGUGGACGAUUAAGGCCUUCGGGUUGUAAAGUCCAAUCGCAGGGGAAGAAUGGUGGGAGGGUAAUACCCUGCCCAUUAGACGUUACCCUGGUCGAAGCGCCGGCUAAACACGUGCCAGCAGCCGCGGUAAUACGUGUGGCGCAAGCGUUGUUCGGAAUCA